GGCGGCGUGCUUAACACAUGCAAGUCGAACGAUGAUGCCCAGCUUGCUGGGCGGAUUAGUGGCGAACGGGUGAGUAAUACGUGAGUAACCUGCCCUUGACUCUGGGAUAAGCCUGGGAAACUGGGUCUAAUACUGGAUACUACCUCUUACCGCAUGGUGGGUGGUGGAAAGGGUUUUACUGGUUUUGGAUGGGCUCACGGCCUAUCAGCUUGUUGGUGGGGUAAUGGCUCACCAAGGCGACGACGGGUAGCCGGCCUGAGAGGGUGACCGGCCACACUGGGACUGAGACACGGCCCAGACUCCUACGGGAGGCAGCAGUGGGGAAUAUUGCACAAUGGGCGGAAGCCUGAUGCAGCGACGCCGCGUGAGGGAUGACGGCCUUCGGGUUGUAAACCUCUUUCAGUAGGGAAGAAGCGAGAGUGACGGUACCUGCAGAAGAAGCGCCGGCUAACUACGUGCCAGCAGCCGCGGUAAUACGUAGGGCGCAAGCGUUGUCCGGAAUUAUUGGGCGUAAAGAGCUCGUAGGCGGUUUGUCGCGUCUGCUGUGAAAGCCCGGGGCUCAACCCCGGGUCUGCAGUGGGUACGGGCAGACUAGAGUGCAGUAGGGGAGACUGGAAUUCCUGGUGUAGCGGUGAAAUGCGCAGAUAUCAGGAGGAACACCGAUGGCGAAGGCAGGUCUCUGGGCUGUUACUGACGCUGAGGAGCGAAAGCAUGGGGAGCGAACAGGAUUAGAUACCCUGGUAGUCCAUGCCGUAAACGUUGGGCACUAGGUGUGGGGGACAUUCCACGUUUUCCGCGCCGUAGCUAACGCAUUAAGUGCCCCGCCUGGGGAGUACGGCCGCAAGGCUAAAACUCAAAGGAAUUGACGGGGGCCCGCACAAGCGGCGGAGCAUGCGGAUUAAUUCGAUGCAACGCGAAGAACCUUACCAAGGCUUGACAUUCACCGGACCGCCCCAGAGAUGGGGUUUCCCUUCGGGGCUGGUGGACAGGUGGUGCAUGGUUGUCGUCAGCUCGUGUCGUGAGAUGUUGGGUUAAGUCCCGCAACGAGCGCAACCCUCGUUCUAUGUUGCCAGCACGUGAUGGUGGGGACUCAUAGGAGACUGCCGGGGUCAACUCGGAGGAAGGUGGGGAUGACGUCAAAUCAUCAUGCCCCUUAUGUCUUGGGCUUCACGCAUGCUACAAUGGCCGGUACAAAGGGUUGCGAUACUGUGAGGUGGAGCUAAUCCCAAAAAGCCGGUCUCAGUUCGGAUUGAGGUCUGCAACUCGACCUCAUGAAGUCGGAGUCGCUAGUAAUCGCAGAUCAGCAACGCUGCGGUGAAUACGUUCCCGGGCCUUGUACACACCGCCCGUCAAGUCACGAAAGUUGGUAACACCCGAAGCCGGUGGCCUAACCCCUUGUGGGAGGGAGCCGUCGAAGGUGGGACUGGCGAUUGGGACUAAGUCGUAACAAGGUAGCCGUACCGGAA
rnacentral:rRNA from 1 species